rnacentral:rRNA from 1 species
AGCGGAGGAAAAGAAACCAACAGGGAUUGCCUCAGUAACGGCGAGUGAAGCGGCAAAAGCUCAAAUUUUAAAGCUGGCACCUUCGGUGUCCGCGUUGUAAUUUUGUGAGGCAUCUCCGGGCAGGGCGCCGGCCUAAGUUCCUUGGAACAGGACGUCACAGAGGGUGAGAAUCCCGUGCUUGGCUGGCUGUCCCCGUCCACGUGAGGUGUCUUCGACGAGUCGAGUUGUUUGGGAAUGCAGCUCAAAAUGGGUGGUAAAUUUCAUCUAAAGCUAAAUAUUGGUGGGAGACCGAUAGCGCACAAGUAGAGUGAUCGAAAGAUGAAAAGCACUUUGAAAAUAGAGUUAAAAAGUACGUGAAAUUGUUGAAAGGGAAGCGCUUGAGACCAGACUUCGGUAGGGGGUGAUCAGCCGUCCUUCUGGGCGGUGCACUUGCCCCCCUCCGGGCCAGCAACGGUUGGGGCGGCGGGAUAAAGGUCCCGGGAACGUGGCUCCUCUCGGGGAGUGUUAUAGCCCGGGUGAAUGCCGCCAGCCUCGACCGAGGACCGCGCCCGCAAGGGUCAGGAUGCUUGGCAUAAUGGUCUUCAGCGACCCGUCU